CCAAGGGUUUGGCUGUUCGCCAAUUAAAGCGGUACGUGAGCUGGGUUCAAACCGUCGUGAGACAGGUUGGUCUCCUAUCUGUUGCAGGCGCUGAAACUUGAGGGGAGUUCUCUCUAGUACGAGAGGACCGAGAGGAACAAACCGCUGGUGUGCCAGCUGUCCUGCCAAGGGCAACGCUGGGUAGCUAUGUUUGGAUGUGAUAAGAGCUGAAAGCAUCUAAGCUCGAAACACGCCCCAAGAUUAGGUUUCGCUGGGAAUAAAUCCCUGAAGGUCCGUGAGAGAUUAUCACGUUGAUAGGUCGCAGCUGUAAGCGCCGCAAGGCGUUCAGGCGAGCGAUACUAAUUAACCGAUC
rnacentral:rRNA from 1 species